rnacentral:rRNA from 1 species
AGUGAACGCUGGCGGCAGGCCUAACACAUGCAAGUCGAACGGCAGCACAGCAGUAGCAAUACUGUGGGUGGCGAGUGGCGGACGGGUGAGGAAUACAUCGGAAUCUGCCUUAUCGUGAGGGAUAACGUAGGGAAACUUACGCUAAUACCGCAUACGACCUACGGGUGAAAGCGGAGGACCUUCGGGCUUCGCGCGAUAAGAUGAGCCGAUGUCGGAUUAGCUAGUUGGCGGGGUAAAGGCCCACCAAGGCGACGAUCCGUAGCUGGUCUGAGAGGAUGAUCAGCCACACUGGAACUGAGACACGGUCCAGACUCCUACGGGAGGCAGCAGUGGGGAAUAUUGGACAAUGGGCGCAAGCCUGAUCCAGCCAUGCCGCGUGGGUGAAGAAGGCCUUCGGGUUGUAAAGCCCUUUUGUCCGGAAAGAAAAGCAUCGGGUUAAUACCUCGGUGUUCUGACGGUACCGGAAGAAUAAGCACCGGCUAACUUCGUGCCAGCCGCCGCAGUAAUAC